AGACGUUUCUUUUGUACAGAGUGUUUCAGGGGAAAUAGUAAAUAUUUUACGAGAUUGUGUAGUAUCUCGAUUAUUCUGCAAGAUAUAUGUCCAAUUAUCAAUGGAUGCGGAGACACAAUCGUUCGAAACUGGCGCGACGAAGCCAUCGUAAGAGUUCAUACUAAUUGUUCGAAAAUCUCAUCACCAACCUCAAUGUACUUGGCAACUCUUGUGAUAAAGUUACUAUUCUUCCUGAAACACCCUGUAUACGGCUGUUACAUACCUCCGUCAUUCUCGACCUCGCUCGUUAACGCUGCAACAAUUCGUCACUCUCUGUUCUUGACGUUAAAUGAAGCUGUGGACGAACGGUGGACGGCGUCAUUAUUGAUGAGCGAAGAAAAGCAGAAGCGAAUCGUAAUCUUUGUGGCACGAGAAUCUCGAGCCUUUGUCGAAGACCCGGUAGCCAGCGCGCAAAAAUAUACGAUCCCGGCUCUUGUUCCUUUCCUAAAUGCGCGACACGCACGUUUCUCUCUUCCCUCCAGACUGGAAAUGAGAAAUGCCGAGAGCAAGGUUUGUUUUGUCGCCUUCGAAUGAACGGAAAACAUGACUGCGCAGAGAAUUGACAAAAAUUCGAGAUCAAGCAAUUAAGGGAGUGUACAGCGGUGUGGAGUCGUUAAAAAGUCACGCCCGCGUGUCGGAAGAUAAAUUUCUCAUCUCGCAAUAUAAUAAUACGGAACAAGUGGCGCUGACCCGGCAUAACGGUGCCAACAUCGUGGAACAUGAUUUGCCGGUACAUCAGAAUCAAUGUCGUAAAUUUUUCGGGCGCAGUCGCGUUUUCUGUCGACUUCGUCGGAAAAUAAUUUAUGUACCUUUUCGAGCACGAUCUCAGCUGGUGGGUGGAGGAUACUCCAUCGGGGGGGGUCAUCGGAGUACGUGCAAUCGAAAUAUCCGCAUCAGGAUCACCGAUGCGCGAAACAGAGUGGAUGGCUCU